AAAAAAGGCAAUGGAUGGUACCCUUUUUCGAGGACCCCUUCCCCAUGGCCACGACGCAAAAAACUUCAGCUACCUAUUCUACAUCCAUCGUUCAUUCCCUCACUCAAAUCGAACUUGGAAGCUCACUAGGCCAUGGAGCAUAGCCCAGAUCAAAGUUCUGACGAAAUUUAUAGUGGAGGAUUUGGAUUUUGGUGUAACAACUUUCCAGUUGCGAAGGAGUACAUUCAUGAUGGCGGGUUCAAGAAGGGUGUACCGCUUCUGGAAGAUGUAGUGGUGAUAGAAGGAGCAACUCACUUCAUUAACCAAGAAAAGGCUGGUGAAAUAAGUUCUCUCAUCUAUGAUUUCAUCACCAAAUUCUGAGUUUGUUAGUAUUCAUCUGCUUAUCCUUUCCAUUAUCAUAUCAUAUGUUACUAGAUCUUCUUCGUCUUCUUCUUUUCCAUUUUCAGCCAGUUUGUGGGUAUUUUGCCGAAGGAAAAUGUACUAAAUGAAUCACUUUCGUUAGAAGAGCGGGUCAUCUAGUGUGAUGUUUACUGAACAAAACCCAAUAAUGGAAAGAUGAUUGCAUUGGUGGGUUUAGGCCUCAUUAGCCUCCAAAUCGAAUCAAAUUGUGCAAUCAAUAUUUUGACA